GAUACGACCACCUAGUCAAAAGUUUAAAACAUAAAUUGACAAUAAUUAAGAUGUUACAAUGUAUUUUUUUAAAGACGAUUUCCCCAUUUCAUUGACCUUUUGCUUGGUUGCAAUAUCGUCACCCGAUUUAACUUAUGCAAAUUCGGUGGAAAUUGAUAAAGUCGCGUGGCUAAAAAGUAAAAUGCUGCAGUUUCGACCGAAAUGAGUUCGAAUGACUCGCAAGCCAGAACAUGAAUCAGCAAAGGGACUUGGCUUAAUUGUGCGGGAUAAGCCCAGACUAACAAAUGGAAUGCAGUUCUACGCAUGGCACGCGUCUCACUUGCCAUGUGACCAACAUUUUGGCUAUUAACCGGCUUUUGCCUCGCUACUCUAUCGCUACGAAGAUACUCCAAGUUCAUGGAUACACUCUCGAUUCGGAAUUAAUCAGACGACUUUCAACCACGGGCAAUCUCAGACGGUCACAACAACCACCGUUCAGAUGCCCCGGGUCCCACCAACAUUCCUGGCAUAAUUUCGUGUGUGAGUAAGCAAACGAGUUCGGGAAAAUAUUAGACGUCAUGGGGCACCUUGGUUUGCCGCUGGCAACAAGAAGACGUUGGGAUUCACUCGAAAUUUACUGUCUGCUGAGUGCACAAAGGUGCAAAGUCGAGCUCAGCGAGCAAAUUGGAAUUUUUGGUAAUCACAGGACGACUCAGCUCAUUUGGAAGAAUGCCUCAGGCGAAGGCCUGUUUCUGAAUUGGCUAACGCAGUAUUUUUCUGAAUUACCCAAAUAGGAACAAUCAAGGUUGUAGAAAUCGGGUAAACAAUAUUUUUCGUUAGUCAUUCCAAUUAAAAUUUGUAUAUUGGCACUAAGAAAUUCCCAGCGGAAGCAACAUGUUGCGAACAGUCCAGCAACACGCAAGUUCACUUUUGCCGGCUUGCAAGUUUUGCCUUCGAUCCGAAGUUCGUUUCGAACUUAAAUCAGCGCAGACUCAGACGGCUCGAGAUCAGAGAACUCACACUUGAAUUGAGCUAUAAACGAGCUAAGCUACAUCUUUAUGAAUUUAUUU
ensembl:ncRNA lncRNA:CR44581 long non-coding RNA:CR44581